UGGGGAAUAUUGCACAAUGGGCGCAAGCCUGAUGCAGCCAUGCCGCGUGUAUGAAGAAGGCCUUCGGGUUGUAAAGUACUUUCAGCGGGGAGGAAGGGAGUAAAGUUAAUACCUUUGCUCAUUGACGUUACCCGCAGAAGAAGCACCGGCUAACUCCGUGCCAGCAGCCGCGGUAAUACGGAGGGUGCAAGCGUUAAUCGGAAUUACUGGGCGUAAAGCGCACGCAGGCGGUUUGUUAAGUCAGAUGUGAAAUCCCCGGGCUCAACCUGGGAACUGCAUCUGAUACUGGCAAGCUUGAGUCUCGUAGAGGGGGGUAGAAUUCCAGGUGUAGCGGUGAAAUGCGUAGAGGUCUGGAGGAAUACCGGUGGCGAAGGCGGCCCCCUGGACGAAGACUGGCGCUCAGGUGCGAAAGCGUGGGGAGCAAACAGG
rnacentral:rRNA from 1 species